UUUUAUUUUAGUUUAUACUAUUCCCCGAUGUUUCUUCUCCCACAAAUUUAAUACUCUUUUUAAAAACCAAAAUCGUUUUUCCUGGGUUACAUCGACUCGGAUCUCGAUUCGGUUCAACUCUAUCGAUUUGGCACGAUUUGAACACGUCUCCUUCCGACCCUUUCUAUUUGACAUUUAAACUAUUCAGGAUGUUGCGAAUUUUAUUGUUUCUUUUAAUGUUUUUUCGCUUCUUCAAAAGCAAAGAGAGUAGCGUGGAAGACGAGAAUGCAGUGAGACCAGUUAUCCUCAAGAAAGACAGAGAGAGAGAGAGAGCGAAACAGAGCGAGUAACGAAUAAGAGAAAGAAAGAGUAAGUGAAAGAGUGAGAUGGAGAGAAGGCAGUGGAGAGGGGGAGAAUGCUCGCGCUCACGUCGAUGCGCCGCACGUCGUAGUGAGGUCGUUCGAUUUUGAUUCGUUUUUAUGGCGAUACCUGUACCAUCAAUGUGUUACAUGAUUUAUUGAUUUUACUCUGGAGACAUUAAUUUUUUCCAUCCUCGACUUUACUCAGCCACCAUACGUUUGUAAAAGAUUAUGAUGUAUUUGAUUUAAUGUGUGUUGAGAGUUGGUGAUUUUUAAUCAGAUUAUUGAGAAAUUGUUUUAGUCGUAUGUUAGAAAACAUUGAUUUAUUUUUGGAUGCGACGCAUUCAAUGUAAGAGAAUUAUAUUCGCUCUUAUUAAAUGCAGAUUCUUUGAAAUACUAAUUGGGAGCAGGGUAUUCCUUGUUACAACUCGAAUUUGAAAGAAUGUAAAGCAUGAAUGUAGAUAGGGAAGGUGUAUUGCCUUUAGCUAUUUCUUAGAAUUUGUUGGAGGCUAACAAGAAUGAAUCAUCGUUCUUAGUAUGAUGCAUAGAUGGUUGGUUACACAUAUCAUUGUAUUAUAUUUUAUAUUGUAUUAAAUUAUUCAUUUAAUAUUUUUUUAUAAUAAUUUUUAUAGAGUCAGGAAAGGAUUGAUUAGAGUACGUUAACUACUUUCAUCGGUUAAUUUAAUCUACAAAUUUUAAUACAUUUCUUAUUAUUUUCUGCGACAAUAGAAAUUUAGUUCAACAGAAUAUUGGAAUAUAAUUUAACAAGACAUUAAUCGUGUUGUAAGAUUUGCUAUUAUAUGCAUCAAUACAAUAUUAAAUUUAUCUUAGACGAUUAUGUUGGUUUAUGAGUUAUAUAUCAUUCAUAUUUAUAAGUAUAGCUGUAUGUGUCAAAUGAUUACAUACACUAGAGUACGGUUUGUGAUCAAGAAUUAUAGGUUUAGCAUAGGAAGACAACAACAAAUUUAAUAACGAGAUCAUGGUAUAAUCUAAGGUCAUUUGAAUUUAAAUAAAGUUACUUUUUAUUUUCUUAUCGUUGAAAUAUUUCAUAUUUCUAAUUUUA